UACAUAGGGUGCAAGCGUUAAUCGGAUUUACUGGGCGUAAAGCGUGUGUAGGUGGUCAAGAAAGUCGGUUGUGAAAUCCCUGGGCUCAACCCGGGAACUGCUUCCGAUACUUCAUGACUCGAAUUCGGUAGAGGGAGGCGGAACUCCAGGUGUAGCGGUGAAAUGCGUAGAUAUCUGGAAGAACACCAAUGGCGAAGGCAACCUCCUGGGCCUGAAUUGACACUGAGACACGAAAGCGUGGGGAUCAAACAGG
rnacentral:rRNA from 1 species